CCAAUUGUUUACAUCAGAAGGUUACAUAUGUGCAGAACAGACUUACCGUCUGUUCAUCUCUAACCCAUUGAGUCGCAUUGUGCACUGAUGCGCCCUACUUUAUUAUUUUACUCUGUCUAACACCAGAUUAUUUUACUCUGUCUAAUGCUAUACAAUUUUACUCAUCAAGGGGAAACCUCUGGCACUUAGUGGGUUAACUGGCCUAUCUGCCCAUGAUGUGUCUAGUUAACCCAUGGAGUCACAUUGCACCCUACUGUAUUAUUUUCUGUCUAAUGCCAGAUGAUUUUAGUUGUCAAGGAGAGAGUUCUGGGUUAAUAUUUAAGUAGAAUUAGCCUCUUCCACAGGCAACUCUGUAUUGUUUUGUAUAAUAGGC